rnacentral:tRNA from 1 species
CCCUGGCUGGUUCAGUCGGUGGAGUGUGUGACUCUUGAUCUCAGGGUUGUGGGUUCUAGUCCUAUGUUGGGUG